UCACGUGCGUAAUUCAAUCCAGAGCCAUUGGCAUAAAUAGGAGGCAGCAGUUAUCAGGCCCUUCGGAUCAUAGAAACCCUGCACCACCAUAUCAGAUUAAAAACGUCUUCGGCAUUACUACAGUGCAUCUUUAAAAAGAAAAGGCUGUUUAGGUAGACAGUCAUCAGGACCCUGAAUGUACAAGCGGCCUUGACGGAGCUGUAGGGGGAAGGCCAAAAAAAGAUGGUCCUAGAGUGAAAAAUGAAGCAGCAUUUAACGAGCUGAUGUCCCAUCAGUAACAAAUGGUAAAGCAAUUUGUUUUCCUGAUAAAUUUGUUAACAUGCUGCUUAGAGUAUUUUACUAAUGUAAAACACUGCAUGUGUUUUUCCACCCCUCUCUGUUGUACUGCACCAGAAGAAGUUGUGACAUCUCAGCACAUUUUUACUGGGGACCUGGAAGUAAAAUGCUGGCGUAAGCAAGCAAUGCCAAAAGCCAUGGAGCUGUGAAGAAGAAAAAAAAGCUUGUUAGUGGCUGCAGAGCAACAGGGGGGGUUUUUUAUAUUUUCUUGAUAUUAGUAGUGUUAUUUUAUUAUUUAUUAAGCCCAACAGCACUGAGUAUAUUGCAGAGCAGUUUAUAUCAGGUUGAGAUAAGACCACUCCCAAAGUUCCCUGGGUUUUAUUUUUUUACCCAGGAAUACAAUUUUUCAAGUCUUUGACAGGCUCCGCCUCUACUCUGCUAGGUGCUGUACAUAGUAAGACAGGCACUGCCACCAAAGAGAGAUUAUAGGGGAAACCAGCAGAAAGGAAGACAAAAAAACACAGAGAAGAGUUAAAUCUUUGACUUCUUCUGCAUCACAAGGUGAAUCAUCUGCCAAUCCAAGGUAAGAAUUGCAAUCUCCUGAUGCUCUCCCCAUUGGACAACACUCUGCAAUAAAGGUACACACAAUGCUUAUUUUAAUCUGCACUUUUAUAUUCACAUCAUUUCUGAAUUUGCUUGUCAAGCAGAGACUUCCUUUUCCCUUAUUAAGAAGGAACUGCUGCCUAAUGACUAUCAAAGUCUUGGAGUCAGGGUAUCCUGGAGAUUUAAUCAUGAGAGGUGUUGAGCCCUGGUAACCACCACCCCCAUAUCAAACCCCUGGAUAAGUCCACAGAGAGGGGAGUCAGGAGCUCCUAAAUCUCUAAUCCCAGCUCUGAUACUAAUCCCUCUCUCUGGCCUUGGGCAGGGCUCUUUCCCUCUUCACACUGAGGCAUCUGGCAAAUAGGAAUAGUACUAGCCACCUGCCUCUCGAGGGAGUUGCAAGCAUCAUCUGCCCAGGGACAGUUUUUUGCUCUGCUCCAGGGGAAAGGGUGACUUAAAAUACUGCUAUAAUGUUUAUCCUUAUUGCACAUUGGCCUAAAGCAGAGCACCAGCCCUGAACUUUCUUGAACUUCGAGCCAGUCCCUGGAUCCAUGUUCCAUGACUUGAAUCCAAUUGUGCCUAAAGAAAAGAAAGAGAGAGAACUAAAGUUCUUCAGAUACCGUAGCUAUGCUCAGAUGGCCUUUCCCAUUAUCAUAUUAAAAGAACCUGAACAGUACAGAACAGAAAAAUUAAAGAGAUUAGAUAUCCAGGCAUCAGGAUGAUCCACAACGUAGCAGCUAUGUGGCACCAAAGUUUAGACACCAGAUUGCCAUUACCUCCAGAUCCAAAUUUCACAAGCCCAUUUGAGAUCCUCAUGUGUAAGCAUAAAGGCCCAGCCCCUUGGCUGUGUGGAUCUAUUGCACCAGCUGAGAAUCUGGCCUAAUUUUUUUUCCUUCAGACAAGCUCAAAGUCUUCAGAAAGGACAUGUUUUUUUAAUUCUUAAACAUAAUAGUAAUUUGUCCUAUUUAUGGCAAGACAAAGACUGAGGAGGGACAGGAUUGCUGUGUAAACACAGUGGAGGAACAGGGGGUGAGCGCUAGGAAGGGAGACACGCUGUUGGAAUUCAAGGACAAAAGAAGAAAUGGGCAUAAACUGGUCAUAAAUACAUUUAGGCUGGAAACAGAAGGAGGUUUCUAACAACCAGAGGAGCAAGGUCCUGGAACAGCCUGCCAGGGGCAAACAGCAAAGUGAUUUUAAGAUGGAGCAUAAUUGUUUUGCCAUGACUGCCUAUAAUAGCAGGGAGCUGGACUGUGUUUCUAUGCAAAAUAAACCCAACUUGCAGAAUGAUCAUGCAUUUCUGGUACUCCCAGCCUUUCUUCACAGUAAGCAUCUUAAAACUUACUCCUGAUGAAUCACAUUACCUGUCAAGGUACUAGAAGAGGACCUAUAUUUCCUGAAAGCUUUUUAUAGUUUUGUUUGUUUGUUUGCUAGACCUUAGUUUUGCCUAAAUCCACAAGAAUUAGAUUAAGAUAAUUAAAUCCCAAUGCAGCAGUGAGUCACUGGGUUAGAGUGAAUGCAUUUCAGACAUUUGUUAAAUCCUGGUGACUUGUGACACAGCCCAGAUGGGAUAUAGUGAAAACCUCUCCAUGCCGGUGUACUGUAGGAUGAAAGGAACACAUCCAGUGUUGAGGAACAGAGGUGCAUGCUAUAUCGACUGCUUUUGUGUUCCACAGGUGAAAUCCUGCAUGCAGCAAGCUGAGGUUAAAAUCAGAAGGCACUAUAUUGAACCAACACAUUACCAAGUGUUCAGCAAGGCAGAAGAUGCGUAGUCAGCCCAAGUCCUCAGUAACACACUCCCGACUGCAAAGGAGAAGGACAAUCAAGGUCAGUGAUGUCUCCCCUCUCGUGGAAACGGCUUAGUGAAGACUGAAGGGAUGCUAAGAUUCCCGCCCUGUUCCUGCCAGCACGUCCAUACACUCCUCUGGUUGCAGUGACUCAGCAGGGGUGCAAUGGCACCGAUACAGAGACCCCGGACACUGAAGAAACCCCACAUCAAGAAGAAAAUCCUUGGCUUGUGCACCCAGGUUGAAAACAAGGCACUUCUCCCUGGGAUGUUGGAGGACUGCCCCUCCUGAAGCUCUUUCCACAGAUCGACUUACUGGCUUCUGAGGACUGAGAAGGACCAGCACGAGACCUCAGCAGCAACAAGUAGCGUGAUCAUGGGAGCUUUGAAGAUUUUGCAUUUGGAAGGCGUCUAAAACUCCUUUUGGAACCUCUUUCCCGCAAACAUGGAUUCAGUUUUAAAAUAAAAAUGUUUUUCUUGUUUGGGUUCACUUU